AUGGCAUGGUGAGGAUAUUUUCGAAUGAGGUCUUUGAGCCUCUCCCAUGUCUCAUCGAACAUCUCCCCUUCCAUCUGAAAAAAAUUGAUUAUGAAUUUUUUAAUUU